rnacentral:lncRNA from 1 species
AGAUAAGUUGGCCGCGAUGAUUACAGGGAGGGUAUCUUCUGGUCCUAGAAAGGCAUACUUAAGAGUUGUCGGAAGUGGCUUUAACUCAAGUUUAGGUGGAGAAUCAAUGGAAGGACAAAGUGGUGCGCUAGCAAUAGGGGAAAGAGGUUCAUGUCGGAUCUUCCAAGGAAGGAAACUCAUGGAAGAUUGAUUGUCGAGUAAGAUGUUGACUUCUUCUAUGGCCUUGUCUAUGUCAAAGUUGUCAAUGUCAAAAUGGGCCAAGCAUGCCUCUA